UAAGACGCUUAAGUAAAGACACGCACCUGAAAAAUUUAAAUUUUUGUGUUGCUCACUCACACCAAUACAUUCGCGCUCGCCUGCACGCACACUGCCUCAAUUUUCGUAACGCGCAAACUGUCAAACAUUUUGGUCUGCUUUCGACAAAGGUUCGAAAAAUAGUUUGAUGGCUAGCGCGUUUUUUUUCCUUUUACAUUAUUAAAGUAAAAUUGAAGGUAAGUGAUUUCAUUAAUUAAUCAUUCAAGCCAUUUAAUAAGCAUAAUUUCCCGGCAACAGGUUUUGUUUAUUCCCCCAGAUUGUGGAACAACCCCCGGGGCGGCUUUGCUGCUUCCUCCUUCGCCACCUCUUCCAAGCGCCGCACCGCUUGCAUCCCCGAAGACCCAGACGGCCACCGUGGCCCUGGGCAAACCAAGGAGGAAGAAUGGUUCGUCCUCCAGGGCACGGUCAUCAAGGAGGAUCCAGCGCGGAUGGCUGCCAAAGGAGGAUGAUAAGCAGAGGUUAGGACCGAUUGCUGCACCGACAACAGUGGCGCUCUAUCCGGAUAGCGCUUCCGCAAAUGGUUCUGCCGUGGUGCGAAUUCGUACAAACAGUCAAGCGAGUGAACUUUCUCCCUUCGGCAACAGUCGCUUCCCCCAGCAGCAGAAGAAACGUUCAAGUGCCUUGUCGCCACAGUGGCCCAAAACCAUGCCAGCAACUAUCUGCUGGCCCAGCUGCUCAACAAGAACCAGCAAAGCGAGAUCUUGCGCCGCAUGAAGAACGCCGAGGCCGACACAAACCAACUGCAACAGCAGCUGGCAAGUCAACAGCCGCGUAUAGCCGAUUCCGCAAGAGCUGCAGUUCCACAUCCAGAGCAACACACAGAACGUGCUGCUGCAAGACCAGCGCAGGAUGCUGUACGAGUAGGCCGUCGAACCGAAUGCUACCAAUUUAUCCAGUCCUUUUGUCGGUGCAGAUCCAAACGACCGCCGGAGCAAACAAAUUUACCGCGCCGUCGGCUGCUAACCCAAUGUUCCCCGGCGUAUCAACCGCGGCCGAGCUGUCCAAUUCGCUGCAGCAGAGGAUGCAUCUCUUGCAACCCCUGGGACGUCAUGCCGCCGGAGCCGGCCGUGGUCCGUCACCUGGAACCUCAACUGACCUGCUUAGAGUGCUGCCCAGUUGUUCAUUUUUGUCCUUUUUUGUAGUGUUUCUUGUUCUGUUCAAAUUUCUCAUUCGUCAAUUCCCCCCCUCCCCAAAAUACAAAAAUACAAAAAUACAAAAAACAAAAAUACAAAACUACAAAACUACAAAAAUACAAAAAUACA